CGUACCAUCGCGUUUUCACCAUCGUGCCAUCGCGUUAUCACCAUCGUACCAUCGCGUUUUCACCAUCGUGCCACAACAACACCCUUUAAAAGACGGAAAAUUUGUUUGUUGUCCGGUAGGAGAGGUUACAUAAAGAACAAUUAGUAUAUUUUGGAGUCAGUAACAAAUGUUGUUGCAAGGAGGGACUUGUUGUUCAGAAGGCCGCUGUAGAGAGGGAGCUCUGUACUUGUAAAAACGUAAAAUAACCUUAUACUUCGUAAUGGAAGGCAUUAAUAAUAGGAAGACAAAAAGGUACACCGAGUAGUUUUUCUUUGUGAAAAAAAAUGUUCAUUCGCCUACAGGAAGGAAAAUGUGCAUACCCCUUAUUCUGCGUGAUACUUUUUUGUACGUGGUGCAUUGACUUAAAUGUCGGAAUGCUUGGAUAAUACAUUACCCAUAUUUUGCACAAUAUGUAAUAGACAAACAGUAUAUCAACCAGAUAAAUUAGGUGUGUGUUAGGGUUUAACAUCUCUUUCAAUAAUUUUUCAGUCUUAUGAAAGACGGUGUAUACUAGUAGCAGUGAGCACAAUGCCAGUGUUUCCGCCGUAGACAUGAUACCCCUAACAGUCACAUACAGACACUGGGCUAACCAGUCCUCGAGCUAUCCUCUUUAUGCUGAACACCAUGUAAGACGCUGCAAGGGAGACAAUCCACGACCUCCUGCUCUACAAACAUUUAGCCCAUUUCACUACGGUUUUAAACGAGAUUCCACGGAAAUCGGAAUUAUGAUCCGAACACAUAAUCGUCUGACCAAUCAAAUGCUGGAGGAUACAUGUUCAUGUACAGUCGCUAUAUGUUAUAAAUAGUAACAUAAAUAUAAACAGACGGAAGAAAAAUGGCGGAUAAUUUGUAGGAGUUUUGACACCGCUGUGAAACUGCCGCUGUAUUGCAGUAGUGAAGGGAUGCAAAAACAUAUCGGGUAGAGGACACGAUGUUAAUUUCAUAGGUUACCAGUUAAUAACGUGAAGAAGGGAAUGAUUCAUUAGGGCAGGAAUGACGGAUAAAGACAGUUUCUCAAUGCCGGAACUGGCGAAUUUGCUCAGCACAUUUUCCGUCUGUGCGUCAGCCUCAUGAACCAUUUCUCCCCACGAUCGGUCUUCCAGGUUCUUCUGAAGCCAGCAGUGAAAUGCAGGGUGAUCAUAUGGUUCAAUCAUUCAAUCACACAGUAUCGUCACCGGUCAGUCAAUCCCGCAGCAGAAGUGAGGAAGUGCAGAUUGAUAAAAAAGUCCAUUAGAAAGUAUUGCCACGGGUAUGUACUUACUUCUGAGUUAUUAAUUACCUGAACAUUAAAAGACUGUUAAAUGAUUUCAGGAGAAUGAAUAACAACUUGUGCAAUAAAAGAACUAAAGUUCACACAUAAAGUUUAACAUUUUAUAAAAAAAACAUUCAGGUGCCAAAAAUAAGGUUCUACAAAUGCAUUGUGUAACAGGCUGAAAAUACUUCAGGCCUGGCCGGUAAUCGAACCCGGUACCUCUCACACCUAAGGCGGACACUCUACCACGUCGCUAUAAAGCUAGCUCAAUAGCAAGGAAGUAUAAAUGCACCGUUGUACUGUACCCUACUUUAUACGCCCCCUCCAUUUUAGAAUUCCUCCUCGAAUUCCAGGAGUUUGAACUUCUGUGUGGCAUUCGAAGAUGUCCAUUCAUAUCUAUUCGUAAGUUAUUUACGUUAGACGCCAAAUGUAACAAG
rnacentral:lncRNA from 1 species